rnacentral:misc_RNA from 1 species
GAUGAAGAACGUAGUGAAAUGCGAUAAGUAAUGCGAAUUGCAGAAUUCCAGUGAAUCAUCGAGUCUUUGAACGCACAUUGCGCCCCCUGGUAUUCCGGGGGGCAUGCCUGUCCGAGCGUCAUUGCUGCCCUCAAGCACGGCUUGUGUGUUGGGCCCCGCCCCCCGGCUCCCGGGGGGCGGGCCCGAAAGGCAGCGGCGGCACCGCGUCCGGUCCUCGAGCGUAUGGGGCUUCGUCACCCGCUCCGUAGGCCCGGCCGGCGCCCGCCGGCGACCCCCCUCAAUCUUUUCAGGUUGACCUCGGAUCAGGUAGGGAUACCCGCUGAACUUAAGCAUAUCAAUAAGCGGAGGA